AAUAAGGUGCCUGAAAAAGGGCUAUCUUGAUAGGAUAGAUCAUGUAUAAUAAUACCCUUAUUA
rnacentral:tRNA from 1 species